UCGCCUGUUUAUUCAAAAACAUGUCUAUUUGAGGAUAUAAAUAGUCUGACCUGCUCACUGAUAAAUAAUUAUUUAAGAGCCGCGGUAUUUUGACCGUGCAAAGGUAGCAUAAUCAUUAGGGGUUUAAUUGGAACCUAGUAUGAAGGGUUGGACAAAGGAAAGACUGUCUUUAUAAUAUAAAUUGAAAUUUACUUUUAAGUGAGAAGGCUUAAAUGAAUCAAAGGGACGAUAAGACCCUAUAAAGCUUUAUAAAUAAUUUAAAUUUAAUUGACUUAGGAUAUAAAAAUUAAUUUUAAUUAUUUUAUUUUGUUGGGGUGAUAUGAGUAUAAAUAUUGUUAACUGCUUAUAUAGGAUACUAGAAUAAUAGAAUUAUAAAUUUAAUGAUCCUUUAUAAAGAUUAAAAGAUUAAGUUACUUUAGGGAUAACAGCGUUAUUUCUUUUGAGAGUUCAUAUCGAAAAAGAAGAUUGCGACCUCGAUGUUGAAUUAAAAUAUCUAUAUAAUGCAGCCGUUAUAUAAGAGGGUCUGUUCGACCUUUAAAUUUUUACGUGAUCUGAGUUCAGACCGGA
rnacentral:rRNA from 1 species